rnacentral:rRNA from 3 species
GAGUGGACGCAUCACUGGUGUUCGGGUUGUCAUGCCAAUGGCACUGCCCGGUAGCUAAAUGCGGAAGAGAUAAGUGCUGAAAGCAUCUAAGCACGAAACUUGCCCCGAGAUGAGUUCUCCCUGAGACCUUGAGUCUCCUGAAGGAACGUUGAAGACGACGACGUUGAUAGGUCGGGUGUGUAAGCGCAGCGAUGCGUUGAGCUAACCGAUACUAAUGAACCGUGAGGCUUAACCUUACAACGCCGAAGGUGUUU